AGCUGGUUCUCCGCGAAAACUAUUGAGGUAGUGCGUCGCAGUGAUACCUUAGGGGGUAGAGCACUGAAUAGGCUAGGGGGUUUACCGACUUACCAAACCUAAUCAAACUCCGAAUACCUAAGAGUAAUAUGCGGCAGACAGUCCAUGGGUGCUAAGGUCCAUGGACGAGAGGGAAAGAGCCCUGACCUUCAGCUAAGGUCCCAAAGUUGUGGCUAAGUGUGAAAGAAAGUGAGAAGACCAAGACAGCCAGGAGGUUGGCUUAGAAGCAGCCAUCCUUUAAAGAAAGCGUAAUAGCUCACUGGUCUAGACAAGUUUUCUUGCGUCAAAGAUGUAAGGGGGCUAAAGCCACACACCGAAGCUAAGGAUUGUAUAUUUAGAUAUACAGUGGUAGCGGAGCGUUCCGUAGGCCGAAGAAGCAGUAUCGUAAGGUAUUGUGGAGGUAUCGGAAGUGAGGAUGCUGACAUGAGUAACGAUAAAUAGAGUGAGAAACUCUAUCGCCGAAAAUCUAAGGUUUCCUACGCAAGGUUAAUCCGCGUAGGGUUAGUCGACCCCUAAGGCGAGGCUGAAAAGCGUAGUCGAUGGGAACAAGGUUAAUAUUCCUUGACCAUCUGGAGGUGACGGAUUUAAGAGCUAGUAAUGUCUGAAAGGAUUGAUAUUGCGUGUGAUUAGGUUCCAGGAAAUAGCCCCAGAAUGAGAUCGUACCGUAAACCGACACAGGUAGAUGGGUUGAGUAUACUAAGGCGCUUGAGAGAAUGAUGUUGAAGGAACUCGGCAAAUUGACUUCGUAACUUCGGGAUAAGAAGUCCCAAUUUGGAGGCAACUUUGAAUUGGGGGCACAGAAUUGGUGGUAGCGACUGUUUAUUAAAAACACAGGACUCUGCAAACUCGUAAGAGGAAGUAUAGGGUCUGACGCCUGCCCGGUGCUGGAAGGUUAAAGAGAGAGGUGAGAGCUUUGAACUGAAGCCCCAGUAAACGGCGGCCGUAACAAUAACGGUCCUAAGGUAGCGAAAUUCCUUGUCGGGUAAGUUCCGACCUGCACGAAUGGCGUAACGAUUUCCACACUGUCUCCAACAUCAACUCAGUGAAAUUGAACUCUCCGUGAAGAUGCGGAGUACCCGCGGUUAGACGGAAAGACCCCGUACUCUGCGUUGAUACCAC
rnacentral:rRNA from 1 species